GACGAACGCUGGCGGCGUGCCUAAUACAUGCAAGUAGAACGCUGAAGGAGGAGCUUGCUUCUCUGGAUGAGUUGCGAACGGGUGAGUAACGCGUAGGUAACCUGCCUGGUAGCGGGGGAUAACUAUUGGAAACGAUAGCUAAUACCGCAUAAGAGUAGAUGUUGCAUGACAUUUGCUUAAAAGGUGCAAUUGCAUCACUACCAGAUGGACCUGCGUUGUAUUAGCUAGUUGGUGGGGUAACGGCUCACCAAGGCGACGAUACAUAGCCGACCUGAGAGGGUGAUCGGCCACACUGGGACUGAGACACGGCCCAGACUCCUACGGGAGGCAGCAGUAGGGAAUCUUCGGCAAUGGACGGAAGUCUGACCGAGCAACGCCGCGUGAGUGAAGAAGGUUUUCGGAUCGGAAAGCUCUGUUGUAAGAGAAGAACGAGCGUGAGAGUGGAAAGUUCACACUGUGACGGUAUCUUACCAGAAAGGGACGGCUAACUACGUG
rnacentral:rRNA from 1 species